rnacentral:lncRNA from 1 species
CGCCAUUCUCCUGCCUCAGCCUCCCGAGUAGCUGCGACUACAGUUCUCAGUGUAUGGUGAGACAGAUCCUGCUUUCAGUUCAUCCUUGGUGAAUGCUAGUCAAAAUUCUAUGUGAUGUCACAACAGAAAUCUUCAGUUAACAGUCGUGGAAAGGACUCAAGCUCUACUCCAUCUCCACCUCCUUGGGUUUGGGUAAAUUCUCAGCAGGAUUGUGCAUUAGGUGAGUGUCUGCUUCUCCCCUGGGUCCCCAUAACUUUGCUUGCUCCUAAACAGGGAGUCACAUCUGGGAAGAGACAGUAGAUAAUGGAGCCAGAGAGCUGACUCACCACGUGGGAUGGCUGUGGGCAAGUUUCCCAGGUUGCACAAGCCACCGGGUUUUCUGAAACAGAUGGAAAGACCGCCUCUGCAGGCCGCUGGCUGACUUCAAGAUAGUCGUGCUGUAUCAAGUGGUGUGAGAAGGAAAGACCCAUAAGAGACUUUGUCAUCCAAGUUUCAGAUUCCCCUGGAUUCCUUAGCGAUAAGACAUGCAUGGCUCAUUACAUAUUCUAUUUAUGAAAUUUCUACGGGCAAAGACUCGAAUGCCCUUUAACUGGGUGCGCACAUGGGCAUCGCAUAGUUUUCCAGAGUAACCCAAGAUACUGGGGUGGAGAGAAAAAUGGAACCAGAAGACAAGCCAGCUUCUACCAAAGCCACCCAGCAGUCAGCCAGCCCAGACUCUCAAAUCUGGACCUGGGGGUCAGCCCUAGGUAGACAGGCAAGCCAUCUUUCAAAGGCUCCCAUGUCCUCUUAAUAAAGUGAGAGCCAGACAUUAGCAAUCAUUCUCACAAUUUUUAAAAACC